AGAUGUUUAACUCAGUGGUAGAGUUAUGCUUUUACACAGCAUGGGUCAAAAGUUCGAAUCUUUUAACAUCUA
rnacentral:tRNA from 1 species